rnacentral:rRNA from 1 species
UACGUAGGGUGCAAGCGUUGUCCGGAAUUAUCGGGCGUAAAGAGCUCGUAGGCGGUCUGUCGCGUCGGAUGUGAAAAUCCAGGGCUCAACCCUGGACCUGCAUUCGAUACGGGCAGACUAGAGUUCGGCAGGGGAGACUGGAAUUCCUGGUGUAGCGGUGAAAUGCGCAGAUAUCAGGAGGAACACCGGUGGCGAAGGCGGGUCUCUGGGCCGAUACUGACGCUGAGGAGCGAAAGCGUGGGGAGCGAACAGG